rnacentral:lncRNA from 10 species
CAAUAAGCAACCUCUGCAGGCCUGACACUGGCUGAGUUGUCCCUUUUAUCUCAAAGGGGCAUCACCCUGCAUUUGAGAACAUCUCAACAGACUCCCCGUCACCAGGAACGUGCCUGCUACUUGACAGAGCCAGGGAGGGAGGAUUGGCUGAUCUGGGGUUUUAUUGGCCCCCAGGAGAUGGAAGGCCCAGGCUCCAGCUGCGGUGGAGGACAAAGGGGACUUGUUUUGGUGACAAUGGUGCCUUUCAGGAGGGAGGAGGUGGCUUUUGUUAAGGGGGAACGAUGAGUUCAAGGGGUUCUGACUUAUUCUGGCAAGUUUCUCCAGCUCUACAAGAACUUCUAGUGCUCUGGGCAGCUGCGAGGGGUCAAGAAACCACAUCCCCAAAUCCAGCGGGAUCUCAGAGAGAAAGGCUGAUGGGAAGCUGCCCAGGGCUGACCUGGCACAUGCUGGGAAAACCCCUCGGUGCCAGGGCAGGAGGCAGAGCGUCUGCAGCUCCUCCCUCCCCAACACAGGGGGUAAGGAAUACAGCAGAACGGGAAUCGGGCGCCUUCAUGCUGCUGUUACCGCCCUUGGUUCAUGGCUUCUUUCACUUGGAAACCCCAGGAGCUAAGUUCCUGUUGACGAGGCGGCCCAGCUCCCCAGGCGUGGCUGUGUUCCGGAUAUCCACAUCGUGGGGCGACACAUAAAGCUUUGUGUCAUUCAAGUCAAAGAACUCGACUUCUGUGAGACCCACCCACCACGAGUUGCCCCAGUUGGACAGGAUCUCCAUGGUCACGUAGAUGGCAUCUUUGAUCUCGUCUGCCCUCAUUCUCUGUUUGUCCUUAAAGAAGAGAAAAAUAACACCAAAGGAUUAAGUCAUGACAGGCUUGAAUUCGGCUCUGCCUCUGCCACCACUGCCUUCAAAAAGUUAGUUAACCUUCAGGGUCUCAGUCUCUCCAUCUGUACAAUGAGGAUAAGAAUAGCACCCACUACCUAUGGUUAUUACAAUGAUUAAAUGAAUUCAUACUGUAAAGCAUUCAAAAUAGAGGCCCUGUGUAACUGGCACUCUGUGAGCAUUCUGUUUGAAAGUUUACAAAUAAAUAAAAAUGUCUAAAAAGCAUUGAAUUCUGCCUGAACAUGCACGUCUCUCCCCCACUACUCAGUGUUCGGUACCCAGAAGCUUGUCACGACAUCUGCUGAAUUGAGUAGGUGUUACGUGCUAAGGCCGGGCACGGUGGCUCACGCCUGUAAUCCCAACACUUUGAGAGGCCAAGCUCGGAGGAUUCCUCGAGGCCAGGAGUUCAAGAUCAGCCUAAGCAACAAAGUGAGAUCCUGUCUUUACAAAAAAAUUAAAAAAAAAAAAGAGCUUGGCACAGCGGCACAUGCCUGUAGUCCCAGCUACGCAGGAGGCUGAGGCAGGAGGAUUGCUGGAGCCCAGGUGGUUGAGGCUGCAGUGAGCUGUGUUCACACCACUGCAUUCCAGCCUGGGUGAAAGACCCAGUCUCAAAAAAAAAAAAAAAAGGUUACGGGCUGAAUUUAUCCCUUCCAAAUUAAUCUGAUGAAACUCUAAUCCCCAGUACCUCAGAAUAUGACUGUAUUUGGAGAUAAGGCCUUUAAAUAGGUGAUUAAGUUAAAAUGAGGCUGUGGGGGAGGGGGGCACUAAUCCAAUCUAACUGGUGUCCUUAUAAGAGGAAAGUUGGACACACAGAGAGACACACCAAGGAUGCACACACAGAAAAAGGCCAUAUGAGGGCAAAGCAAGAAGGCAGCUAUCUGCAAGCCAGAGAGAGGCCUCAGAACAAACCAAACCUGCCAACACCUUGAUCUUGGACUUCCAGCCUUCGGAAUUGUGAGAAAACAAAUCUCUGUUGUUGAAGCCACCCCAUGUGUGGUAUUUUGUUAUGGCAGCCCUGGUGGACUGAUAUAGUAGGUAACAUGGCCCCCUGGCCUUGGACAAGUCACUUGACAUCCCUCGGCCUGGUUGGGGAAGAGGACAUGACACCAUCUAUGUGAUAAUCCUGUCACAGAUGUUAAACAAGAUAUCAAUACCUAAGAAGGCCCUAUCAUGAGCCUCGGCCCUGGGUGCGCUCUGUAAGUGUCUGUUUCUUUCUGUUUCUCUCCUUCAUUGGUUUUAAUGCCUGCCUCCUUCCUGCGUCGGCUGUCUGCUCUGAGAGCCUGCGUGAAUGCCAUCAAUAAAUGGCCACCGUUCGGAAUGGCUUCCUGAGGCCCUCCAGGGCUGAUUGCAGCACUGGUCGCCACGGAUCAGUCACUCACAAAAUGGUGCAUUCCCCAUGUGCACAUGCCCUCUGUUAAUUAGCAUGGGUAAUCUGCAAUGGUUCUGUGAGCAGGGAGCCAAGCAAAUGAACAGCAACUGUUCCCCACUUAUUUUUUUAAUUAAUAGCCAGCGAGACGUGCUAUUGCUCUCAGUGUGUGUUUGGAGGGGCCUUGAUUGCCACACGGUGGGAACGCGGAUAGGGAGGAGGGAGAGAGGUCAGCUCACAGCUCCUGGAUAAAAGAUAGGGCCUGUUUUGAUCAGCUGGGCCCUCGAAACCCACAGCUUCCUCCUGCUCC